rnacentral:rRNA from 1 species
GUCCACGCCCUAAACUAUGUCAACUGGUUGUUGGGGGUUUGACACUCUCAGUAACGAAGCUAACGCGUGAAGUUGACCGCCUGGGGAGUACGGCCGCAAGGUUAAAACUCAAAGGAAUUGACGGGGACCCGCACAAGCGGUUGAUUAUGUGGAUUAAUUCGAUGCAACGCGAAAAACCUUACCUACCCUUGACAUGUCCUGGAGGCUCCAGAGAUGGGGCUGUGCCCGAAAGGGAACGGGAACACAGGUGCUGCAUGGCUGUCGU